AUUAUGUGCCUUAAUAAAACACAGCGUUCUGUUGAGACCUGUUUGUUAUCUGCUGGUGUCAAGCACAAACGCUAUGUGAUAUAAAAUCCAGUAUCUGGAUGUUACUGCAGACCAAACACUUCAUGGAGAAGCAAAUAUUCACUGCACUUCUUGGAGAAGUAAUUAUUCACUAAAAAUGAUCUUAAUCCAAUUUGUAAUAUUUGACCUGGAAAACAGGCGUUAUCAUAUUGUUUAUGGAAAUAAACAAAUUUCACACAUAACUCUGGGGUCUCCAUUAAAAUGAAGUCUUUAUCAGCUCACUAAUAUGAAACUACAGGACAUAAUUAUGCGUUCAUCUGGGUGCUUAGCAGUCAGAGACAGUCUGUAGGUGGUUGAAUCAGAUUCAGAUCCAAAUAUCAGCCAAAAUGCUGACGUCAUGUCCAUAGCGGGGAGGUUCUGGGCCCCCCCCGAAAAACAACCCUAGAUACGCCAAUGUCACAAUGUGAUCAUAUUCUGAUACUUCAAAAAAGUAAUCCUGUAAUGUGUCCAAAGGAAUGAGAUCAUGGAUUCUUCGAUCUGAAGCAAGAAGAAGAAUGAAAGCUGUUUAUCAAGUAAAAUUCAAUGCUAGAAGAAAGUCCAGCAGCCGGCAACCAGUCAAAUUAAUUCCAGUAAUUUAAUAUUAAAGACCGGUGAUCUCGGUGUACCUACUUGGCCUUGCAAUUGAAAUGGCCUUAAGGAACUGAUGUACAAAAGGUAAAGGUAGAUACAACUGACCUAAGUAUCAGUUUUGUACUGCAAGUUUUUGCUGUAAAAACAGCUUGGCUAACAGCAGCGCUAUCUACAGUAACGGCGUAAAACAUCUUUCAUCUUCGAAUCGGUAACCCAAAAAUCCUGGGGGGCACCAGACCAGACCAUUCUGGGGUGCCAUAGCCCCCGGGGGGGCGGAUAUAUAUGGGGGGUACGGACCGCCCCGCGUGCCAAGCCAUGCUACGCCGCCACUGGCUACCACAUCACUACCAGUUGGUAACUUGUGGUCAAUGCUGUGAGAUUGACCCACAUAAUGCAUCUUAUGAUUGCUCCUUCCACCACCAAUUUUAAAUUUUGGAGAGAUAACUUAUCUACUUGUUGUAGACUAGGGUCUCUAACAGAUCCUUUAUUAGCACUGGGGCCGAUGUUAUUAGAAUGUAUGUUCCGUCUGCCAUUCAAGUAUGGUAACGUCUGUAGCUGGGAGGUGAAAACACUCAUCCAGCUGAUAAUCCCAGAGACGGCUGAAGGGCGUCAUAAAGAAUCAGAGUUCUGAUCUAUUUGCCUUAAUGUGGUACAAAAGAUGGAUAAUACUAUUUAUUAGCUAAUUUUCAAUUAAAAUUUUACUUGUUUAUUUAAGGAACACAAACAGUAUAAUUUUAUUUAAUAUUUAACAUCCAUCUUUUGAGUCCAGUGUAACAUAGUUAAUACUACUGCCGUGGCCCUGGAAGCCAAUAAGUUUAUUUUGGGACACCCCUACAUAAUGAAUAUAGCCUCUGUGGCCGGGGGUACUAAUGGAUUCUAACUGGAAUCAAACAAGUCUCUGUCUGCGACUCCCCAUAAUAUGGCCUUCUUGGCCUGGGGUACUAAUAUAUUCUAAAUGGAAGCAAACAAGUCUCUGUCUGGGACUCCCCAUACACUGAGUAUGGCCUCCGCGGCCUGGGGUACUAAUAGAUUCCACCUGGGUACUACUCGACCCUUUGAUGUUACAGGUGGUCUGGCAUACCGUGCCUAUGGCCCGGUCUGCAAUCCCAUCUCCUGGUAGAUAACAAGCCGACAGCGUCAUGUCGAGCUGUUCGGUCAAGUUCAUGAGCUUGGUGGUCAAUUUGAGGAGGGCCCGUGAUCGAGUACCUCCUUCGUUUCUGACUGUGUCUGUGUCAGAAUGUGACCUUCAGGAGCUUGGUGGUCAAUUUGAGGAGGGCCCGUGAUCGAGUACCUCCUUCGUUUCUGACUGUGUCUGUGUCAGAAUGUGACCUUCAGGAGCUUGGUGGUUAAUUUGAGGAGGGCCCGUGAUCGAGUACCUCCUUCGUAUCAGGAUGUGAACUUCAUUCAAUCGAUCCUGAUGACUUAAUGCUACAUCUCCAUCGCAUUGGAGUGUCAUCAUCACUAGUAAAAAUAUAUAUGUAUUUUUCAAAAGUAAAUGCCAACAUUACAUUUUAGGUGUGCGUUGUAACACUGACCUGUAAAAUUUUUGUAAAGUACUGUCUAUUUUCUUUCUCUGACCUUUAAUCUACUGUUAUAAUAAUAUUUUCGAAAAAAAUAAUUAGCAACCCUAGUUGAACGCCCCACUACGCAUCCGCUGCGUCUGUGGACUUGGAAGUCUGUGACUUCUUUUCGCCGCAACGGCUUUGAACUAAAGUCUAUGGCGUCUAUACCUCUUAAAAUCCUCUCAGAAACAGCUGCAUACUAUUGUGUAUUUAGUUGACAUUGACAGUUUAUAAUAUUGUAACUAAUUGUGGGUAUACAAAUAAUAAAUCAGUUAUGCUUUGACUUGA